UUCAAAACAGGGAUUCGAUUCCGAAUUCUUCCACAACAGAGUUUGAUCCUGGCUCAGAUUGAACGCUGGCGGCAGGCCUAUCACAUGCCAGUCGAGCGGAUGAUGGGAGCUUGCUCCCGGAUUCAGCGGCGGACGGGUGAGUAAUGCCUACGAAUCUGCCUGGUAGUGGGGGACAACGUUUCGAAAGGAACGCUAAUACCGCAUACGUCCUACGGGAGAAAGCAGGGGACCUUCGGGCCUUGCGCUAUCAGAUGAACCUAUGUCGGAUUAACUAGUUGGUGGGGUAAAGGCCUACCAGGGCGACGAUCCGUAACUGGUCUGAGAGGAUGAUCAGUCACACUGGAGCUGAGACGCGGUCCAUACUCCUACGGUAGGCAGCAGUGGGGAAUAUUGGACAAUGGGCGAAAACCUGAUCCAACCAUGCCGCGUGUGUG
rnacentral:rRNA from 1 species